rnacentral:rRNA from 1 species
GACGAACGCUGGCGGCGUGCCUAAUACAUGCAAGUAGAACGCUGAAGGAGGAGCUUGCUCUUCUGGAUGAGUUGCGAACGGGUGAGUAACGCGUAGGUAACCUGCCUGGUAGCGGGGGAUAACUAUUGGAAACGAUAGCUAAUACCGCAUAAUAGUAGAUGUCGCAUGACAUUUGCUUAAAAGGUGUAAUUGCAUCACUACCAGAUGGACCUGCGUUGUAUUAGCUAGUUGGUGAGGUAACGGCUCACCAAGGCAACGAUACAUAGCCGACCUGAGAGGGUGAUCGGCCACACUGGGACUGAGACACGGCCCAGACUCCUACGGGAGGCAGCAGUAGGGAAUCUUCGGCAAUGGACGGAAGUCUGACCGAGCAACGCCGCGUGAGUGAAGAAGGUUUUCGGAUCGUAAAGCUCUGUUGUAAGAGAAGAACGAGUGUGAGAGUGGAAAGUUC